rnacentral:lncRNA from 1 species
GGUAUGGAGACCUUAUGUGUUUUGGCACCCAUUCCGGACGGGGUAUGGGGACGGCCCGUUUCACCCUCAUACCGGACGGGGUAUUGAGGUUCAUGGUUUUGGUGCCCAUACCGGACGGGGUAUGGGGACGGCUCUGGAAUCAGGUUAUAAAUGUUAAGGGUUCACGGGUAGCGGGACCCCUAUGGAUCCCCAUGGAUACUAGUAGGCUGGUAAAUGAGGAAAAUGUGUUGUUUAAUGAUUGAAAUGCAAAGGCGUGGUAAGUAUUAU